ACCUGGGUGGGCAGCGCCAGACAGAACUCGGAGUACAGGUCGAGGGGGCGGGGCAGUUCCUCCAGGCGGUCGAGGAGCUCGUCCACCA
rnacentral:tRNA from 1 species